GUUAUGUAGCACAGGCUGGCCUCUAUUUCAUGAUCCUCCUGCCUCAUCCUCUUGAACGCUGGGACUGUGGGUCCGCUCGCUCUGCCAGCCUCCGCUCCAUCCUGGUUUUGUUGUUGUUGAUUUGUGGUUUGAUUUUGACUAGACGGAGAAGAUGGAAAAGGAGGCCCGGAAUCAGAGGCAGGAAAGGCAGAAAACAGAAAGCUUUUCCCCUUGGCUGGCACAGGGCGGGCAGGGAUGGCUGUGGAGUAGUUACUUCCAGGCCAGGCUGAGGACCUUCCUCCAAGCAGCAGCCUCCCCGUGCGGCUGCAUCCGGCUGCAUCCGGCGGCCACCGAGAACUUCCUCUAGAGGGAGCUGAUCAUUGCCGGGAGCUACUAGCUCCUCUAUGGUCACAAAGUCGCGAGGUUUCCUGGGCCAAGAGGCGACCCGAGGCGGCAUCCAGCACCAUGAAUUCACUGAUACCAGUUCCUGGCAGUCAGGCCUGAAACCUUGGCCCCUGGAAGCAGCUAGCAGCCCUUCGGGGAUCUUUGUCUUCGGACUGCUGAGCCGGCCCACAUCUGGAGCAGAGUCAUUCAGGUGACAAGUGACGGUGGUCUCCACCAAGACCUGAAAAAUGGCAUCCGGACAAGGACCAGGUCCCCCGAAGGAGGGCUGCGAUGAGUCCCCGUCCCCUUCUGAACAGCAGGUUGCCCAGGACACAGAGGAGGUCUUUCGAAGCUACGUUUUUUACCUCCACCAGCAGGAACAAGAGACCCAGGGGGCGGCCGCCCCUGCCAACCCCGAGAUGGACAACUUACCCCUAGAACCCAACAGCCUCUUGGGUCAGGUGGGUCGGCAGCUUGCUCUCAUCGGAGAUGAUAUUAACCGGCGCUACGACUCAGAGUUCCAGAAUUUACUGGAACAGCUUCAGCCCACAGCCGCGAAUGCCUACGAACUCUUCACCAAGAUCGCCUCCAGGCCAGCAGCGACAUGCACAGCCUAUUUAAGAGUGGCAUCAGCUGGGGCCGUGUGGUGGCUCUCCUGGGCUUUGGCUACCGUCUGGCCCUGUAUGUCUACCAGCGCGGUUUGACCGGCUUCCUGGGCCAGGUGACCUGCUUUUUGGCUGAUAUCAUACUGCGCCAUUACAUUGCCAGAUGGAUCGCGCAGAGAGGCGGUUGGGCGGCAGCCCUGAAUUUGCGUAGAGACCCCAUCCUGAGCGUAAUGGUGAUUUUUGGUGUGGUUCUGUUGGGCCAAUUCGUGGUACACAGAUUCUUCAGAUCAUGACUCCCGGGGAGCCCCCUCUGGGGCCCCAGCCACAUGCCUGCCUGGACUAAACCUCUCCCCACCCCACCCCCACCCCCAGUAGUCCUCCCCUCCUUCCCGAGGGCAAAGACACUUUAGCGAACAGGCACCCCUGCUUUGGAGAGCCACUGCCCAGGGAUCAUCGAGGCGAGGCAGCAUGAACACCCCAACACUGCAUGGUGCUAUUGAACCCCAUCCUGUCUCAGCGGUGCUGACUGAUGCCCCGGGGGUUGGGGGGAGGCAAGAGGCUGGGCCACUACUCCCCAGAAAGCUAGAUUUGUUUUUAUACUCCUCUUUGGAUACAAUCCUUCCUUUUUCUCCCACUGUGCCCCAAGUCAGAACAUGGAGGGCAUGGGGACCGGGGGUUCUAACCCGCAUUCCCAGCUCGCCUGCUCGCCUGCGACUUUGGAAGGUCAGCACUUGAGAAGGGACCUGGGCACAGUCCUGGCCCUCCCUACAUUGGCUCCCAAGAAUAGGACCAGCUUCUGUCCCAUCCCUCCCCACCCCCAACCUCAUCUUCCACUUCCCUGCCUCUAUCCCACCCUCCCCCGCCCCAUCCCCUACUCGGAUCCAUUUCGCCUUGGCCGCUGGACUCUCAGGGAUUCCGAGCCCAGAGUGAGGGCAGAGGUGAGAGUUCAGACCACAGUGGUCUGAACAUGUCCACCAAGGCCCUUCAAACCUGUGUAUCCCUUCCUGAUCCCUGCUCCCAACCUAGUGUGUGCGGGGGUGGGGGUGGGGUGGGGGGGUGGGCCUCUUGACAGAUUGCAGAGCCUCAGACUCAGUCACCAUGGCAGGGGAAUGGGUGGGUACUCACUUGGAGGCGUCCACCCAAGAGAACUCCACCAGCAGGAGCAACUGUGGAUCUGGGUGCAGUGUGACACCCCUCCCCCACCCCAGAACCUGUGAAUACUUGAACCCCACCUUCACCCAUGUGCUCCUUGUCUGCCUAGGUCCUCCUCCGGUGGGGUGGGGUGGGGUUGUUUUUCUCUGUCUUGCACAACAUAGGGGUGAGGGGUGGGAAGUUUCGAUUAAGCCAAAUGUACCAUGGGGGUGGGGGGGAGGCAGAUGGAUUCCCCCACUUCACCCUCUGUGUCUGGAAAUAAACUGUGCAAUGCUCCCCAA